GACGAACGCUGGCGGCGUGCUUAACACAUGCAAGUCGAGCGGUAAGGCCCUUUCGGGGGUACGACGAGCGGCGAACGGGUAGGAGUAACAACGUGGGUGGACCUGCCCUCCAGCUCUGGGAGUAAAGCCUAGGAAACUAGGGUCGUAAUAACUGGAGUAUGACUCCAUGACGCAUGUUGUGGGGUGGGAAAGCCUUGUGCGGCUGAGGAUGGGCCCGGCGG
rnacentral:rRNA from 1 species